rnacentral:rRNA from 1 species
CCAGUUCGUGAGGAAGGUAUAUGUAGUUAAUAGCGUGCAGUAUUUGACGUUAGCGACAGAAAGAAGCACCGGCUUAACUCCCGUGCAGGCAGCCGCGGUAUUACGGAGGGUGCGAGCGGUUAAUUCGAAUUACUGGGCGUAAAGCGCAUGCAGGUGGUUUGUUAAGUCAGAUGUGAAAGCCCGGGGCUCAACCUUGGAAUAGCAUUGGAACUGGCAGGCUAGAGUUUGUAGAGGGGGGGUAGAAUUUCAGGUGUAGCGGUGAAAUGCGUAGAGAUUGAAGGAAUACCGGUGGCGAAGGCGGCCCCCUGGACAGAUACUGACACUCAGAUGCGAAAGCGUGGGGAGCAAACAGGAUUAGAUACCCUGGUAGUUCACGCCGUAAACGAUGUUUACUUGGAGGUUGGUGCCUUGAACCGUGGCUUUUGGAGCUAACGCGUUAAGUAGACCGCCUGGGGAGUACGGUUGCAAGAUUAAAACUCAAAUGAAUUGACGGGGGCCCGCACAAGCGGUGGAGCAUGUGGUUUAAUUUGAUGCAACGCGAAGAACCUUACCUACUUUUGACAUCCAGAGAACUUUCCAGAGAUGGAUUGGUGCCUUUGGGAACUUUGAGACAGGUGCUGCAUGGCUGUUGUCAGCUUGUGUUGUGAAAUGUUGGGUUAAGUCCCGCAACGAGCGCAACCCUUAUCCUUGUUUGCCAGCCAGUAAUGGUGGGAACUCCAGGGAGACUGCCGGUGAUAAACCGGAGGAAGGUGGGGACGACGUCAAGUCAUCAUGGCCCUUACGAGUAGGGCUACACACGUGCUACAAUGGCGCAUACAGAGGGCGGCCAACUUGCGAGAGUGAGCGAAUCCCAAAAAGUGCGUCGUAGUCCGGAUCGGAGUCUGCAACUCGACUCCGUGAAGUCGGAAUCGCUAGUAAUCGUGGAUCAGAAUGCCACGGUGAAUACGUUCCCGGGCCUUGUACACACCGCCCGUCACACCAUGGGAGUGGGCUGCACAAAGAAGUAGGUAGUUUAACCUUCGGGAGGACGCUACCACUUUUGGUAA